GAGGUAGGAGGAUCGCUUGAGCCUGGGAGGUUAAGGCUGCAGUGAGCCAUGAUCAUGCCACUGCACUCCAGCCUGAGUGACAGAGCAAGACC
rnacentral:miRNA from 1 species